UCCCAGGUGAAAACGACAUGAUGAUGUAAGGAAAGAACCACAUGGCAGUGCUGGCACCAGUGGCAGUCCCCAGAAAGGCUGCACCACAGCAAUAAUGGAGACUGUGAUGCAUGAUGGGAGGCGGCAGAUACCCAAGAAACUCAGCAAUGAGGUCCACUCAGGACUAUCCCAUACAGUCUGCUUUGUCUUGGGCUCCAGUCACAUCAGCCCAUAAGAAUACUGAUUUCAAGUUCAAGAUUUCUGAACUGCAUACUGUGGGAGAUAACAGAAGAGAUUGGUAGAGUGUAAAGAGUAGCUUGGAUUCAACAACUAAGUCUUCUGUGCCCCAACUCCAGAUCUGCAAAAUCAGCAUCUCUGCAGUUUUGACUGUAGCAUCUGUAAUUUUAAAAUCUGCCAAGGUGAUUCAGAUUUGCAGUUAUGUUUAGGAUCCUCUAGAUUGGAUCAUUUCUAGAGUUCCUUUAGGCUCUCAAAUUUCAUCUUUUAAGACAUUCAUCAUGUAUUCAGCAAACCUACUGGUUUUUACUAGCAUCUGGCAGUUCUUCUAGUUCUCAUCUCUCCUUAAAAUAUAGGAGACUAUGAGAACCUCAUAAACCUCAGAUAUCCUCAGGUUUAUGAAAUUCCAGAGCCAACUAAAUCCUCCAGAGAUGGAAAGGCUGAGAAAUUCCCACUAAUAUGGGAGACAAGCAAGAGUGUUCCAAUCUUAUACUGUUAGCAUUUCUUUCUAAUAUCUCCAAGUCUUUGCCCCUAUGUUCUUCUGUAACAGUAGAACUUUAAUGAUUUCAAUAACAAUGGCCUCUCUUCCACAGGAUGAAGGAUAAUUUGGAGACCAUCAAACUACUCAUGGAAGAACAAGGCUGCUGAACCAAAGAUUGGACAUAAGGGGUAGCUGGUACUUUAAGGAAGACAGAAUAACCACUCAACAGUUACUACAUGUGAGAAAAAGAGUAAUAGGCCUAAUAAUAUACAGAGCAACAUGUUAUAUUAAUGUACCAAAUACUACAUUAAUAUACCAAAAAUAUAUUAAUUUUAUAGUGAUCUUUUGAUACUGAGCCCACAUGACCUGCAAGAAAAUCUGCUUCAAGAAGUGUAGUGGUAGGUUUGUUCCCCAUAUCAGGGAACUCAACAAAUAAAUAUAGCUGCCUUCAAACA
rnacentral:lncRNA from 1 species